CAGAGUUUUUGUACCAGCGGUGCAAUAGCAGGGAAAGUUCGGUGUAAGUCCGACGCUGUCCCGCAACUGUCAUGAGACCGAGGUCUCUCAGCCAGGAUGCCUGCCGAUAAGUGAUCGGUUGA
rnacentral:ncRNA from 2 species